rnacentral:rRNA from 1 species
AGUCACUGCAGCGUAGAAUGACGGAGCACGCCGCGUGAGGGAGGAAUGUCUGUGGAUUGUAAACCUCUUUUCUCUGGGAAGAAGUUCUGACGGUACCUGAGGAAUCAGCAUCGGCUAACUCCGUGCCAGCAGCCGCGGUAAGACGGAGGAUGCAAGCGUUAUCCGGAAUUAUUGGGCGUAAAGCGUCCGUAGGUGGUUUUUUAAGUCUGUUGUUAAAGAUUGCAGCUCAACUGUGAGAGAGCAACGGAAACUGUAUGACUAGAGUGUGGUAGGGGUAGAGGGAAUUCCUAGUGUAGCGGUGAAAUGCGUAGAUAUUAGGAAGAACACCAGUGGCGAAGGCGCUCUACUGGGCCAUAACUGACGCUGAUGGACGAAAGCUAGGGGAGCGAAAGGGAUUAGAUACCCCCUGUAGUACA